rnacentral:misc_RNA from 1 species
GACGGAUGCAUGUUGGUCCCGCUAGAUGUAACUUUGUCUCUUUCGGUAAAUCGUUUAGGAAGGCUUGAGAAAGAUGUUCCUCAAUACUUCAUAAGUGUAGAGUUGAAUAGUGUGGUUGUUUCACUGGAUGAGAUUCAAAUGCAACAAAUCUUGAGCAUUUGUGAUUAUUUGCUGACAUGCCAAUUGAGAGAGAAGUAUGGACGGUUUCGUCCUUGGUGGAG